AGAAUUCAUUCACAAUAAUCACCCAAAUAAAUUACUAGUCAUUGUUCAUCAUUAUAUAUGUGGAAAUCGUAUCUAUGAAAAAUAUAAUCUGUUGUUUGCUAAUCAUUAUUGUAUUUUGCCACAAAUAGAUAUGUAAGUAGGAGCUGUAUGCAUCACCUGUGCAUGACAAACUUCCGUCUUUGGGAACGUUGACGUUGGAAUCCGGAAGAAGCGGAAGACGGACAGAUAUAAAAAAUACAGGUCUUGCGUGGCUGAAUUCCUUCAAAGUCCUGUUCCUGCCCUGAGAUGCAUGUAGGUACAAAGGAAAUAAAAUACAAGAUUGUAUUUUGGACUGUAUGUUCUGCGGGUAGUUCGCGUGGCUGAAUUCCACAAAAUCCAGAGCCUUUUCAUGAGAACUUCUGUGGCAAUUGUCCAGUACACAGUGAGGGGACGCUGUCGCUAUGGCACCAAUUAUGACGUAAAGUGUGAUGUAGACUGAGCACGAAUUGACCGAAUGACGAAAUAAUCACAUGGAGGUGGCAACGGGCGUGACCCACUCACUGACACCUCGGAUAUCAUCGUCGACCGGAUCUCCAAUAAUAUUCUGAGAACCAGUAUUUUUAGGAACACAUUAUUAUUUGCGUUAUGAAGUAGGACCUAAGACCGGUCUUUGCGGUUCCUUGUGGUACACCGUUGUGUAAAGUCUUUGGUUUCUCAUUUUACUAACUGAAUUUGACCACACUUAAAUAUGAACUUCUUUUUUACACAUGUGAAUUAAAUUUGAGUAUUCUGUUUGAAA